rnacentral:rRNA from 1 species
UACGAAGGGUGCAAGCGUUACUCGGAAUUACUGGGCGUAAAGCGUGCGUAGGUGGUGAGUUAAGUCUGUCGUGAAAGCCCCGGGCUCAACCUGGGAAUGGCGAUGGAUACUGGCUCGCUAGAGUGCGGUAGAGGAGAGUGGAAUUCCCGGUGUAGCAGUGAAAUGCGUAGAGAUCGGGAGGAACAUCAGUUGCGAAGGCGGCUCUCUGGGCCGUAACUGACGCUGAGGAGCGAAAGCAUGGGGAGCGAACAGG